CAAACGCACAGAGGUGCCUCCAAGAAGCCAGACAAAUAAGCUACCGAUCCCGAGGUGAAGGCUGACGGGGAGAGGAGCAUGGAUUUGUGAAUAAAAAAACUGUACAGUGAUCACCACAGGGGGCACUUUAUGGACCUGCUUUGGAGCCAACCACGGUGCCAACCCUGGGGACACAGACCCAGAGCCCCUCCAGGUUCAGAACUCAGCCCACCCUGUCCUAGUGGGGAAGACAGACAUGGGGUCACCUAACUUUAGGACUAUGUGCCAACAUAAAAGGAGUGUGCACCCAGAGUCAUGGGAGCUGAGACCAGGAAGCUGCAGACAUGGCCUGUGCCCAGGGAGGACUCAGCUGGAAGAAGACUUCUGAGCCAAGACUCUGAGAACAAAGAGAAUUUGCAGCACCCAGAAGAGGAGGACCUAUCCUGAAGAUCAGCACAACUGUUUGAAAAGGAAAUCGAAGUAAAAGAGAUGCUGAGCCGCUAACUGCUCUGAAGGGACUCAAGUGACUUGGCCUAAAACGUGUGUUUGUUUACAUUUGCAUUGCCCAGUGCUGAGCCUGGGUGCCACCGGCAGCAGGUACUCAGUUCACAUUAG
ensembl:lncRNA